rnacentral:rRNA from 1 species
UACGUAGGGUGCAAGCGUUGUCCGGAAUUAUUGGGCGUAAAGGGCGCGUAGGCGGUCCAUCGCGUCGGGAGUGAAAAGCUGGGGCUUAACCCCAGUCCUGCUUCCGAUACGGGUGGACUAGAGGUAGGUAGGGGAGAUCGGAAUUCCUGGUGUAGCGGUGAAAUGCGCAGAUAUCAGGAGGAACACCGGUGGCGAAGGCGGAUCUCUGGGCCGUAACUGACGCUGAGGAGCGAAAGCAUGGGGAGCGAACAGG